AUCCAGCUGACGAGUCCCAAAUGGGACGAAACGCAUGUCCUGGAU
rnacentral:hammerhead_ribozyme from 1 species